rnacentral:rRNA from 1 species
UACGUAGGUGGCGAGCGUUGUCCGGAUUUACUGGGCGUAAAGGGCGUGCAGGCGGUUUGUUAAGUGCAGGGUGAAAGCUCCCGGCUCAACUGGGAGAGGUCCUUGCAUACUGGCGAACUCGAGGGAGGCAGAGGAAAGUGGAAUUCCCGGUGUAGUGGUGAUAUGCGCAGAUAUCGGGAAGAACACCCGUGGCGAAGGCGGUUCUCUGGGACGGUACUGACGCUGAGACGCGAAAGCGUGGGGAGCGAACAGG